GGCAGCACACGCCCUUCGAUCACGGAAGUUGGAUAAGUUGUAUGAGGCAUGUCGCUACCUUGCAGCUAGAUGUCAUUAUGCUGCAAAAGAGCAUCAACAGGCCUUGGAUA